CCUACGGGGGGCAGCAGUAGGGAAUAUUGCUCAAUGGGGGAAACCCUGAAGCAGCAACGCCGCGUGGAGGAUGAAGGUCUUAGGAUUGUAAACCCCUUUUGUUAGAGAAGAUAAUGACGGUAUCUAACGAAUAAGCACCGGCUAACUACGUGCCAGCAGCCGCGGUAAUACGGAGGGUGCAAGCGUUACUCGGAAUCACUGGGCGUAAAGAGUGCGUAGGCGGGGUGAUAAGUCAGAUGUGAAAUCCUGUGGCUUAACUAGAGAACUGCAUUUGAAACUGUUACUUUGGAGUGUGGGAGAGGUAGGUGGAAUUCGUGGUGUAGGGGUGAAAUGCGUAGAGAUCAGGAGGAACACUAAUGGCGAAGGCGGCCUGCUGGAAUGUAACUGACGCUGAUGCUCGAAAGCGUGGGGAGCAAACAGGAUUAGAUACCCCAGUAGUC
rnacentral:rRNA from 1 species